rnacentral:rRNA from 1 species
UACCUUGUUACGACUUCACCCCAGUCAUGAAUCACACCGUGGUAACCGUCCUCCCGAAGGUUAGACUAGCUACUUCUGGUGCAACCCACUCCCAUGGUGUGACGGGCGGUGUGUACAAGGCCCGGGAACGUAUUCACCGCGACAUUCUGAUUCGCGAUUACUGGCGAUUCCGACUUCACGCAGUCGAGUUGCAGACUGCGAUCCGGACUACUAUCGGUUUUGUGGGAUUAGCUCCACCUCGCGGCUUAGCAACCCUCUGUACCGACCAUUGUAGCACGUGUGUAGCCCAGGCCGUAAGGGCCAUGAUGACUUGACGUCAUCCCCACCUUCCUCCGGUUUGUCACCGGCAGUCUCCUUAGAGUGCCCACCAUGACGUGCUGGUAACUAAGGACAAGGGUUGCGCUCGUUACGGGACUUAACCCACCAUCUCACUACACGAGUCGACGACAGCCAUGCUGCACCUGUCUCAAUGUUCCCGAAGGCACCAAUCCAUCUCUGGAAAGUUCAUUGGAUGUCAAGGCCUGCUAAGGUUCUCCGCGUCGCUUCGAUUUAAACCACAUGCUCCAUCGCUUGUGCGGGCCCCGCCAAUUCAUUUGAUU